AUUGAACGCUGGCGGCAGGCCUAACACAUGCAAGUCGAGCGGAUGAAGGGAGCUUGCUCCUGGAUUCAGCGGCGGACGGGUGAGUAAUGCCUAGGAAUCUGCCUGGUAGUGGGGGAUAACGUCCGGAAACGGGCGCUAAUACCGCAUACGUCCUGAGGGAGAAAGUGGGGGAUCUUCGGACCUCACGCUAUCGGAUGAGCCUAGGUCGGAUUAGCUAGUUGGUGGGGUAAAGGCCUACCAAGGCGACGAUCCGUAACUGGUCUGAGAGGAUGAUCAGUCACACUGGAACGGAGACACGGUCCAGACUCCUACGGGAGGCAGCAGUGGGGAAUAUUGGACAAUGGGCGAAAGCCUGAUCCAGCCAUGCCGCGUGUGUGAAGAAGGUCUUCGGAUUGUAAAGCACUUUAAGGUGGGAGGAAGGGCAGUAAGUUAAUACCUUGCUGUUUCGACGUUACCAACAGAAUAAGCACCGGCUAACUUCGUG
rnacentral:rRNA from 1 species